rnacentral:rRNA from 1 species
GAUGAACGCUGGCGGCGUGCCUAAUACAUGCAAGUCGAACGAAGGCUUCGGCCUUAGUGGCGCACGGGUGAGUAACGCGUGGGAACCUGCCUCUUGGUACGGAAUAACGUCGGGAAACUGACGCUAAUACCGUAUAUGUCUGCGGAUGAAAGAUUUAUCGCCGAGAGAGGGGCCCGCGUCUGAUUAGCUAGUUGGUGAGGUAACGGCUCACCAAGGCGACGAUCAGUAGCUGGUCGGAGAGGAUGAUCAGCCACACUGGGACUGAGACACGGCCCAGACUCCUGCGGGAGGCAGCAGUGGGGAAUAUUGGACAAUGGGGGCAACCCUGAUCCAGCAAUGCCGCGUGAGUGAUGAAGGCCUUCGGGUUGUAAAGCUCUUUUGCCAGGGACGAUGAUGACGGUACCUGGAGAAUAAGCCCCGGCUAACUUCGUGCCAGCCGCCGCCGUAA